CACGAGUAGCCCGAGUGGUGCCCACGAAUAUUGAGUCUAAAACGCAUGUAGCCGGCUUGAACAGUUCCCCGUGAAAUCUCUUGGCUCAACCAAGAGGCGCGCGGGGAAUACUAGCAGGCUAGGGAAUGGAAGAGGCCAAGGGUACUGUAAGGGGAGGAGUAAAAUCCUGUAAUCCUUGCAGGACCAUCGGUGGCGAAAGCGCUUGGCCAAGACAUGUCCGACGGUGAGAUGCGAAGGCUAGGGGAGCAAAUCG
rnacentral:rRNA from 1 species